ACCCGUAUAGAGUAAUAGCAACUCGUUGGACUCAUAUAACAGUGUAGGACGUGAGCUAAGGAUCUUGGUGCAAAUCCGAGUGCGGGUA